rnacentral:tRNA from 1 species
GGAUCCGUAGCUCAGUUGGCUAGAGCGUUACAUUGACAUUGUAAAGGCCACAGGUUCAAGUCCUGUCGGAUCCA